UAUGCGCCUGUGCUAUUAACCAAAUUCAAUUCGUGUCGCGUUUUGUUUGGGUGUUGUUGUUACUAAACCCAACAGUAUUUUCUUACAAAAUUUAAGUAAUUUUUCUAACGGUAGCGGACUUAUCUAAAUUUUGUAAAUGAAGUUACAUCUCCCAUAAACGUGUUUAUUUUAUACUAUAAUAUUUUUAAUAAUGAGUAUGACGAAUGAAAAUAUAGAUGAACCUGAGCAAUUUAGAAAAUUAUUUAUUGGUGGUUUGAAUUAUACAACUACAAAUGAUUCAUUGAAAGAAUUUUUUGAAAAAUGGGGUGAAAUUGUUGAUGUGGUUGUUAUGAAAGAUCCUGUUACUAAAAGAUCAAGAGGAUUUGGUUUUAUAACUUAUUCAAAAGCGACCAUGGUAGAUGACGCAAUGGCUAAUAGACCUCAUAAAAUUGAUGGAAGGGAAGUAGAAACAAAGCGUGCCGUUCCACGAGAUGAUAUUGAUAAACCUGAUAUAGCAUGGACAGUAAAAAAAAUGUUUAUGUCUGGUAUUAAAGAACAAACUGAAGAAGAGCUUCGAGAAUAUUUUGGCCAAUAUGGUAAUAUAUUAAAUGUUCAAAUUGUGACUGAUAAAGAAACAGGACAGCGUAAAGGUUUUGGUUUUAUUGAAUUUGAUGACUCUGAUUCUGUUGACAAAGUAGUUUUGAUUAAAAGUCAUCAAGUUGCUAAUAAUAAAUUAGAGGUGAAGAAAGCUGUUAGUAAAGAUGUAGCAUCAGCUUCUAGAGGAAGAAGAGGUGCAAGAGGUGCUAGUAGAGGUCAGAAUUGGGGAGGACCUAACAAUUGGGGUGGUAGUUUUGGAGGAGGUAAUGGAAAUGGCUAUGGUGGUGGAUGGGCUCAAGGUGGUCCUCAAGGUUGGAAUAAUUCUUGGGGUGGCCAAGGUAGUCAUGGCGGUUGGGGAAAUGGAGGUGGUAAUUGGGGUGGUAAUCAUAGUGGUUAUGGUGGUGGUCCAAUGCGAGGAAACUUUGGAAAUAAUAGAGCAACGCCAUACCACACAGGUCGAGGUGGUGGUGGUAAUUUUCAUCAAAAUUCAAGAGGAAGAUAUUAAAUGCAGAUUGCUGAAGCCAGACUAGGAAUCAAUAACUAUCAAAAUUUUUCUUCAUCAACUUUUGGGUAUAGUUUCAUAUUUCAAAGGAAUAACAUUGUAAGUAGUGUACACUAUUGUUUUGUCUAAAAUUCUACCUUAAUUUCAUUUUCAUAGACCUAUCUGAUUUUAAAUAUAAUUUUGAUAUCUAUAGAUUAAAAAUUAUUCUUAUAGCUUAUAAGCUAUUGAGUUGUUAGGUUUUUAAUGCAGAAUCACAAUUUUGAGGCUUCUAUCAACAGCGUAGGACGUAGGCUACCAGUUCAAUGAUAGUAAGUGAUUUAGAAAAAUAACAUAGUUAAUGAAUCUAGAGUUGAAAAAUAUUUAUUAUACAUUUGGUAUAUAAAAUUAUUAUAUAUGGAAUAAAAUAAGCAUUGAUUGUAUUGAAUUAAAUCAAAAUUCAGUUAAUCUAAGUUUUGGAAACUUGAAAUUUUUAAAAAUUAAGUUUCAAUGAUCAAUUAGAAUACAAAUUAUGUUGAUUUUAUCAACAAUUUAUAUGAUGAAUGUAACAUACUUAACAAGAUACUAAUUCACAGAACAUUGCAUGGCUUUUGUUUUUUUAACUUACAAGAUGAUGUUUAAAUAAGUUAAUUCAAUAAUUAACAGUGUACAGUUACUUAAAAUAUUACAAUUCUAAAGAAGGCUGAUGUUUAUAUAAAUUCUUAUGCUGAAAACUGGAUGGAUAGUAUUUAAUUCAUUAGAAAAAAAAUGUUGAAGAAAUUAUAAAUGUACUUAAAGUUAUGUUCACAUUUUAACUUCUAAAACUAUUAUUGUUGCCAUAUUAAUUAAUUAGAUAUAAGUAAUUUUUAUAUAAAAAAAUAAUUUGAAUUGUUAGUACAUUUUCAGGUAUUUUCUAAUGAUAAUAAAAGCAGAUAAUUUGUUUUUUUAUUUAUUUUACUAAUAUUCUAAACGGCUAUAUUAUAUUACAGCUAUAUAUUUGUAUGGAAUUUGUUGUUCCAGUUCCUAAAAUAAAAAUUAUCCAAAUUUU